rnacentral:rRNA from 1 species
AUUAAACGCUGGCGGCAUGCCUUACACAUGCAAGUCGAACGGUAACAGGUCUUCGGAUGCUGACGAGUGGCGAACGGGUGAGUAAUACAUCGGAACGUGCCCGAUCGUGGGGGAUAACGAAGCGAAAGCUUUGCUAAUACCGCAUAAGAUCUACGGAUGAAAGCAGGGGACCGCAAGGCCUUGCGCGAACGGAGCGGCCGAUGGCAGAUUAGGUAGUUGGUGGGAUAAAAGCUUACCAAGCCGACGAUCUGUAGCUGGUCUGAGAGGACGACCAGCCACACUGGGACUGAGACACGGCCCAGACUCCUACGGGAGGCAGCAGUGGGGAAUUUUGGACAAUGGGCGCAAGCCUGAUCCAGCCAUGCCGCGUGCAGGAUGAAGGCCUUCGGGUUGUAAACUGCUUUUGUACGGAACGAAAAGACUCUGGUUAAUACCUGGGGUCCAUGACGGUACCGUAAGAAUAAGCACCGGCUAACUACGUGCCAGCCGCCGCAGUAACAC